AGGCCUCUGGGUCCACCUCCCACCCGUGUUUAUUUUACCUUGUUGCUUCGGCGGGCCCGCCUUAACUGGCCGCCGGGGGGCUUACGCCCCCGGGCCCGCGCCCGCCGAAGACACCCUCGAACUCUGUCUGAAGAUUGAAGUCUGAGUGAAAAUAUAAAUUAUUUAAAACUUUCAACAACGGAUCUCUUGGUUCCGGCAUCGAUGAAGAACGCAGCGAAAUGCGAUACGUAAUGUGAAUUGCAAAUUCAGUGAAUCAUCGAGUCUUUGAACGCACAUUGCGCCCCCUGGUAUUCCGGGGGGCAUGCCUGUCCGAGCGUCAUUGCUGCCCUCAAGCCCGGCUUGUGUGUUGGGCCCCGUCCCCCGAUCUCCGGGGGACGGGCCCGAAAGGCAGCGGCGGCACCGCGUCCGGUCCUCGAGCGUAUGGGGCUUUGUCACCCGCUCUGUAGGCCCGGCCGGCGCUUGCCGAUCAACCCAAAUUUUUAUCCAGGUUGACCUCGGAUCAGGUAGGGAUACCCGCUGAACUUAAGCAUAUCAAUAAGCGGA
rnacentral:rRNA from 1 species